rnacentral:rRNA from 1 species
UACAGAGGGGGCAAGCGUUGUUCGGAAUUACUGGGCGUAAAGGGCGCGUAGGCGGCCCGCUAAGUCGAACGUGAAAUCCCCGAGCUCAACUCGGGAACUGCGUCCGAUACUGGCGGGCUUGAAUCCGGGAGAGGGAUGCGGAAUUCCCAGUGUAGCGGUGAAAUGCGUAGAUAUUGGGGGGAACACCAGUGGCGAAGGCGGCUCACUGGACCGGUACUGACGCUGAUGCGCGAAAGCGUGGGGAGCAAACAGG